rnacentral:rRNA from 1 species
CCUACGGGAGGCUGCAGUGGGGAAUAUUGGACAAUGGGGGGAACCCUGAUCCAGCCAUGCCGCGUAUGUGAAGAAGGCCCUCGGGUUGUAAAGCACUUUCAGUGAGGAAGAACGCCUGGUGGUUAAUACCCAUCAGGAAAGACAUCACUCACAGAAGAAGCACCGGCAAACUCCGUGCCAGCAGCCGCGGUAAUACGGAGGGUGCGAGCGUUAAUCGGAAUUACUGGGCGUAAAGCGCGCGUAGGUGGCUUGAUAAGCCGGUUGGGAAAGCCCCGGGCUCAACCUGGGAACGGCAUCCGGAACUGUCAAGCUAGAGUGCAGGAGAGGAAGGUAGAAUUCCCGGUGUAGCGGUGAAAUGCGUAGAGAUCGGGAGGAAUACCAGUGGCGAAGGCGGCCUUCUGGACUGACACUGACACUGAGGUGCGAAAGCGUGGGUAGCAAACAGGAUUAGAUACCCGUGUAGUC